AUACUUGCCUGGCAGGGGAGAUACCAUGAUCACGAAGGUGGUUUUCCCAGGGUGAGGCUUAUUUAUUGCACUCUGGAUGUGCUGACCCCUGUGAUUUCCUCAAAUGUGAGGAAUUCUACUGCAUAAUUUGUGGUGGUGGGGGACUGUGUGCUCUCCUG
rnacentral:snRNA from 1 species